CAGGCCUAACACAUGCAAGUCGAACGAGAAGCUUCUUCGGAAGUGGACAGUGGCAGACGGGUGAGUAACGCGUGGGGAUCUGCCCAGAGGUUCGGGACAACCAUUGGAAACGAUGGCUAAUACCGGAUAAGCCCGUAAGGGGAAAGAUUUAUCGCCUUUGGAUGAACCCGCGUAAGAUUAGCUUGUUGGUGAGGUAAUGGCUCACCAAGGCUACGAUCUUUAGCUGGUCUGAGAGGAUGAUCAGCCACAUUGGGACUGAGACACGGCCCAGACUCCUACGGGAGGCAGCAGUGGGGAAUAUUGCGCAAUGGGGGAAACCCUGACGCAGCCAUGCCGCGUGAGUGACGAAGGCCUUAGGGUUGUAAAGCUCUUUCGCUAGGGAAGAUAAUGACGGUACCUAGUAAAGAAGCCCCGGCUAACUCCGUGCCAGCAGCCGCGGUAAUACGGAGGGGGCUAGCGUUGUUCGGAAUCACUGGGCGUAAAGCGCGCGUAGGCGGAUUGAUUAGUUGGGGGUGAAAGCCCGGAGCUCAACUCCGGAACUGCCUUCAAUACUGUCAGUCUUGAGGUCGAGAGAGGUAAAUGGAAUUCCGAGUGUAGAGGUGAAAUUCGUAGAUAUUCGGAAGAACACCAGUGGCGAAGGCGAUUUACU
rnacentral:rRNA from 1 species